rnacentral:rRNA from 1 species
AUUGAACGCUGGCGGCAGGCCUAACACAUGCAAGUCGAGCGGAUGAAGGGAGCUUGCUCCUGGAUUCAGCGGCGGACGGGUGAGUAAUGCCUAGGAACCUGCCUGGUAGUGGGGGAUAACGUCCGGAAACGGGGGCUAAUACCGCAUACGUCCUGAGGGAGAAAGUGGGGGAUCUUCGGACCUCACGCCAUCAGAUGAGCCUAGGUCGGAUUAGCUAGUUGGUGGGGUAAAGGCCUACCAAGGCGACGAUCCGUAACUGGUCUGAGAGGAUGAUCAGUCACACUGGAACUGAGACACGGUCCAGACUCCUACGGGAGGCAGCAGUGGGGAAUAUUGGACAAUGGGCGAAAGCCUGAUCCAGCCAUGCCGCGUGUGUGAAGAAGGUCUUCGGAUUGUAAAGCACUUUUAGUUGGGAGGAAGGGCAGUAAGUUAAUACCUUGCUGUUUUGACGUUACCAACAGAAUAAGCACCGGCUAACUUCGUG